rnacentral:rRNA from 1 species
CCUACGGGAGGCAGCAGUGAGGAAUAUUGGUCAAUGGGCGAGAGCCUGAACCAGCCAAGUCGCGUGAAGGAUGACGGCCCUACGGGUUGUAAACUUCUUUUGUCAGGGAGCAAUAGGGUCCACGCGUGGGUUUAGCGAGAGUACCUGAAGAAAAAGCAUCGGCUAACUCCGUGCCAUCAGCCGCGGUAAUAGGGGGGAGUCGAGCGUUAUCGGGAUUUAUUGGGUUGAAGGGGUGGGUAGGCGGAAUAUCAAGUCAGCGGUAAAAAUUCGGGGCUCAACGCCGUCGUGCCGUUGAAACUGAUGUUCUUGAGUGGGCGAGAAGUAUGCGGAAGGCGUGGUGUAGCGGUGAAAUGCAUAGAUAUCACGCAGAACUCCGAUUGCGAAGGCAGCAUACCGGCGCCCAACUGACGCUGAAGCACGAAAGCGUGGGUAUCGAACAGGAUUAGAUACCCCUGUAGUC